UGGGGAAUUUUGGACAAUGGGGGCAACCCUGAUCCAGCCAUGCCGCGUGAGUGAAGAAGGCCUUCGGGUUGUAAAGCUCUUUCGGCCGGGAAGAAAUCGCGCCAGCUAAUACCUGGUGUGGAUGACGGUACCGGAAGAAGAAGCACCGGCUAACUACGUGCCAGCAGCCGCGGUAAUACGUAGGGUGCGAGCGUUAAUCGGAAUUACUGGGCGUAAAGCGUGCGCAGGCGGCUCUAUAAGACAGAUGUGAAAUCCCCGGGCUUAACCUGGGAACUGCGUUUGUGACUGUAGGGCUUGAGUGCGGCAGAGGGGGUGGAAUUCCACGUGUAGCAGUGAAAUGCGUAGAGAUGUGGAGGAACACCGAUGGCGAAGGCAGCCCCCUGGGUCGACACUGACGCUCAU
rnacentral:rRNA from 1 species